CCCCGGUGAACGGCGGCCGUAACUAUAACGGUCCUAAGGUAGCGAAAUUCCUUGUCGGGUAAGUUCCGACCCGCACGAAUGGCGUAACAACUGGAGCACUGUCUCAACGAGGGACCCGGCGAAAUUGAAGUCGCGGUAAAGAUGCCGUGUACCCGCAGCAGGACAAAAAGACCCCGUGGAGCUUUACUAUAGCUUGGCAUUGAGUUCGGGCUUAGUUUGUCUAGUAUAGGUGGAAGGCUAUGAAGCCGGGGCGUCAGCCUCGGUGGAGCCGCCAGUGGAAUACCACCCUUGCUAAGUUUGAGCCCUAACCCCUGACCGUUAGCCGGCAGGGGGACCGUGCCUGGUGGGUAGUUUGACUGGGGCGGUCGCCUCCGAAAAGGUAACGGAGGCGCCCAAAGGUUCCCUCAGGCUGAAUGGAAACCAGCCGCAGAGUGUAAAGGCACAAGGGAGCUUGACUGCAAGACCAACGCGUCGAGCAGAGUCGAAAGACGGGCUUAGUGAUCCCACGGUACCGUGUGGAAGGGCCGUGGCUUACCGGAUAAAAGCUACCCCGGGGAUAACAGGCUGGUCUCCCCCAAGAGUUCACAUCGACGGGGAGGCUCGGCACCUCGAUGUCGGCUCAUCGCAUCCUGGGGCCGGAUAAGGUCCCAAGGGUUGGGCUGUUCGCCCAUUAAAGCGGUACGUGAGCUGGGUUCAGACCGUCGUGAGACAGGUCGGUCUCUAUCCGCUGUGGGCGCAAGGGAUUUGAGGGGAGCUGCCCCUAGUACGAGAGGACCGGGGUGGACAGACCUCUGGUGUGCCAGUUGUUCCGCCAGGAGCAUCGCUGGGUAGCUAUGUCUGGCAGAGAUAACCGCUGAAAGCAUCUAAGUGGGAAACUCGCCCCAAGAUUAGAUCCCUCAUCCCGUUAAGGGAGUAAGGCCGCAGGAAGACCACCUGCUUGAUAGGCGGCAAGUGUAAGUCCCGCAAGGGAUUCAGCUAAGCCGUACUAAUGGCCGAGGGCUUAACGUG
rnacentral:rRNA from 1 species